rnacentral:tRNA from 1 species
GCCCCCAUAGCUCAGGUGGAGAGAGCACGGGAUUCCUAAUCCCGGUUUGCCCAGGUUCGAAUCCUGGUGGGGGCGCCA